CUACGGGGCGCUCCAGUUAAGAAUAAUCUACAAUGCACGCAAGUGUGAUAGUUUGAGCCAGAGUGUCUUUCAAUCGAAAGACUUUUAUGAAAUGUAAAAAGUUUCACGAAUAAGGACUGGGUAAGACUAGUGCCAGCCGCCGCGGUAAUACUAGCGGUCCAAGUCGCAGCCAUUUUUAUUGGGUCUAAAACAUCCGUAGCUUGCUUAGUAAGUUUCUUGUGAAAUCCUGGGUCUUAAACUCAGGGCGGGCAAGAAGUACUUCUAAGCUAGAGACUGGAAGACGUAAGGAGUACGUUCGAAGUAGCGGUUAAAUGCUUUAAUCUCGACCGGACUUACAAUAGCGAAGGCACCUUACGAGGACAGUUCUGACAGUAAGGGAUGAAGGCUAGGGUCGCAAAACGGAUUAGAUACCCGAGUAGUC
rnacentral:rRNA from 1 species